rnacentral:rRNA from 1 species
AGAGUUUGAUCCUGGCUCAGGACGAACGCUGGCGGCGUGCCUAAUACAUGCAAGUAGAACGCUGAAGAGAGGAGCUUGCUCUUCUUGGAUGAGUUGCGAACGGGUGAGUAACGCGUAGGUAACCUGCCUUGUAGCGGGGGAUAACUAUUGGAAACGAUAGCUAAUACCGCAUAACAAUGGAUGACACAUGUCAUUUAUUUGAAAGGGGCAAUUGCUCCACUACAAGAUGGACCUGCGUUGUAUUAGCUAGUAGGUGAGGUAAUGGCUCACCUAGGCGACGAUACAUAGCCGACCUGAGAGGGUGAUCGGCCACACUGGGACUGAGACACGGCCCAGACUCCUACGGGAGGCAGCAGUAGGGAAUCUUCGGCAAUGGGGGCAACCCUGACCGAGCAACGCCGCGUGAGUGAAGAAGGUUUUCGGAUCGUAAAGCUCUGUUGUAAGUCAAGAACGGGUGUGAGAGUGGAAAGUUCACACUGUGACGGUAGCUUACCAGAAAGGGACGGCUAACUACGUGCCAGCAGCCGCGGUAAUACGUAGGUCCCGAGCGUUGUCCGGAUUUAUUGGGCGUAAAGCGAGCGCAGGCGGUUUGAUAAGUCUGAAGUUAAAGGCUGUGGCUCAACCAUAGUUCGCUUUGGAAACUGUCAAACUUGAGUGCAGAAGGGGAGAGUGGAAUUCCAUGUGUAGCGGUGAAAUGCGUAGAUAUAUGGAGGAACACCGGUGGCGAAAGCGGCUCUCUGGUCUGUAACUGACGCUGAGGCUCGAAAGCGUGGGGAGCGAACAGGAUUAGAUACCCUGGUAGUCCACGCCGUAAACGAUGAGUGCUAGGUGUUGGAUCCUUUCCGGGAUUCAGUGCCGCAGCUAACGCAUUAAGCACUCCGCCUGGGGAGUACGACCGCAAGGUUGAAACUCAAAGGAAUUGACGGGGGCCCGCAC